CAUGGCCAAGAGCGACUGGGACACGGUGACAGUGCUGCGCAAGAAGGGCCCCACGGCCGCCCAGGCCAAGUCCAAGCAGGCCAUCUUAGCAGCUCAGAGACGAGGAGAGGAUGUGGAGACUUCCAAGAAAUGGGCCCCUGGCCAGAACAAACAGCAUUCAGUCACCAAGAACACGCCCAAGCUGGACCGGGAGACUGAGUCGCUGCACCAUGACCGGGUGACCCUGGAGGUGGGCAAGGUGAUCCAGCAGGGCCGGCAGAGCAAGGGGCUGACUCAGAAGGACCUGGCAACGAAAAUCAAUGAAAAGCCGCAAGUCAUUGCAGACUACGAGAGUGAACGGGCCAUUCCUAAUAACCAGGUUCUGGGCAAAAUCGAGAGAGCUAUCGGCCUCAAGCUCCGGGGGGAAGGAUAUCGGGAAGCCGAUGGAGAAGGGGCCAAGGGCGAAAUGA